CUCCCAUGACGAUUCCGCCAUGCUAAUACUGAUGCACCAGUUAAGUGCUUUGCAUUUCACUGGGUGCAAGUGAGUUCAACUCACCUUCUCACACUGAUGCUAUCAGUGUGUGCUGAGGAGA
rnacentral:snoRNA from 1 species